rnacentral:lncRNA from 1 species
UUUCGAGGUUUGAUGUAUCUAGGCCGAGUGUUGCCGUAUUUGAUUUUUGUGUGUUAUGGCCUUGCGAGGCUAUGUGAACUAUGUGUUUUAGACCGGCCGUUUGGUGGCAUUGGGUCCUAGCCGUUUUUUGCGGCUUCUAUAUAUAUGAUGAAUGAUUGACAUUCUGUGCGUUUUAGUUUAUACUUCUGCCAAGUGUGAGGGAAAGAUACGAGUAGUCACUUCGUAUCUUAAAUCUUAGUUUAUCGUCUUGUUCGUUUGCUCUUACUGAACGAGGGCGUUCGGAAACGUUUAGGAGUUUCGCGAAGUUUUGUGAGCGUAUUAGAUAUAGA